AUACGUAGGUGACAAGCGUUAUCCGGAUUUACUGGGUGUAAAGGGCGUGUAGGCGGACUGGCAAGUCGGAUGUGAAAUUCCCGGGCUUAACUCGGGCGGGUCAUCCGAAACUGCUGGUCUUGAGUACUGGAGAGGAUAGUGGAAUUCCUAGUGUAGCGGUAAAAUGCGUAGAUAUGCCACAGAACGCCGAUAGCGGAGGCAGCUCGCCAGGCCUGCAUUGACGCUCGGGCACGAAAGCGUGGGGAUCGAACAGGAUUAGAUACCCUGGUAGUCCACGCCGUAAACGAUGGGCGCUCGUCGUCGGCGGCAGACAGUCGGCGGCCAAGCGAAAGCGAUAAGCGCCCCACCUGGGGAGUACGGUCGCAAGGCUGAAACUUAAAGGAAUUGACGGGG
rnacentral:rRNA from 1 species